rnacentral:lncRNA from 1 species
AUUGUUUUAAUGUGAUGCGUGUAUUAAAAUUCAUGGAGCAAAAUGUAAUUUCAAGUGACAAAAAUAUACAUCUCCUAAAGAGGUAAUUAUCAAGAGAAAAUAUAAUGUUUGCUUUUCAAUUUCAGAAUUCCGAAAUCAGGAGACUGUCAUAAAAAGAACUGCAAAAUGUUUCUAAGUAAACUAACAUUUUUAUAUUUUACAAACCUUGCUUUCUGCUAACAUAACGAGUGUAAAGGAUCUUCUAUGUGCACUGUCCUGUAACAUUGGAACGUUACGGAAUGUCUAUAUUUCUAGUCUUUAAGCAUAAUCAAUUAACGAUAAAGGCGGUAUUUCGUUCUAAAUCUUAAACGUUUACUAUAAGCGAACAGCAAUCAAUACGGACGAGUGUUUAACCUAUGGCUAUAAACAAGUUUAAACGAUCGUUUCACGUCUUUCCAUUAUUUGUUUCUGAUCAUUGUUGAAAGUUUCACUAAGAGGUGGCUGUGUUUCUUGAAUUAAGAGUUACAUUUGUUAGGAGAUGUAUUCAAAUGGAAUUUAUUUUUUUCAGUACAGUUUGGAUAUACACAGACAUGUUAUUUUGAGCCCGAGUAGCUCCAUGAAGUUGGAAAGUUAUCAUUUUUUACGGAGAGUGCCGGCUGGUUAGAAACUAUAAAGACAGAAAUGCUUCAGCUGUUACCAAUCCGAGGAUAUGCAGAUGAUAUUUUAAAAGAAAAAAACCCCAGCCUAUUCCUCUCUUAAAGUGUGAACUUCAAGAACCACACGGAUUCUGCACCAAAAACCGACAGGAGGAAAAAAGAAAACGAUCCGGAAAACAUCAGUAAGUUACAAGACGAAGACAAGCCAAGCAUGGAAGUAGCAGGUUAUUGUUGUUGUUCUCUACUGUGCAAUUUGGAAGUGAAUGCUGGCACUUAGAUGAUAUUAUUAUGGAAGUAAAGUCAGUUACAAAAUAAAUCAUAAGGGUGCACACGAUAUCAUAUAGUUCAGGUUGUUGGUUGCUCUUUUAAACGUUUUGAUCGUUUCUGUUAUAAUAAAGGAAUGUAUUUAUUUUGAAUACGUGUACGGGUAAACAGUGGGAUUACCUUAAUUAAUUUUCUUUGUCCAAAACAAAUGUUUGAGAACUGAAGGAAGUGGUGCUAUCAACACUGGGAUGUACUGUCGUUUAUUGUUUUUAUGUUAUUAGUAUAGUAUCUGAUCCUUGCCAGAGUACAGUGGUGCUAUCACAACUGGGGUUUACUGUGGUUUAUUGUUUUGAUGUAUUUUGUGUAGUCUCUGGAACUGGCCAGAGUAGAAUGGUGUUAUCACCACAGGGGUUUACUGUUUUUAUGUACGGGGCGGAGGAGAGUGAUGCUGUCAACACUGGAGAUUACUGUGGUUUAUUGCUAUCAUGUUAUUAAUAUAGUUUCUGGUAUGGGCCAGAGUAGAAUGGUGCUAUCACCACAGGGGUUUACUGUGGUUUAUUGUUUAUAUGUAAUUAGUAUAGUCUCCUAACAGGCCAGAGUAGAGUGGUGCUAUCACCACUGGGGAUUACUGUGGUUUAUUAUUAUUAUAGCCUCUGGUACGGUACAGGGGAGAGUGGUGUUAUCAACACUUGGAUUACUGUGGUAUAUUGUUAUUAUGUUAUUAGUACAGACUGGUACGGACCAGAGGAGAUUGGUGCUAUCAGCAUUGGGGAUUACUGUGCUUUAUUGUUUUUAUAUAGUUAGUAUAGUCUCUAGUACUGGCCAGAGUAGAGUGGUGCUACCGCCACAUUUGAUUACUAUGGUUUAUUGUUUUUAUGUAAUUAGUACUGUCUCUGGUACUGGCCAGAAUAAAGUGGUGUUAUCACCCCUGGGAAUUAUUUACUGUGGUUUAUUGUAAUAAUGUUAUUAUUAUAGUCUCUGGUAUGAUACAGAAGAGAGUUUUGCUAUUACAAGUGGGGAUAACUGUGGUGUAUUGUUUAAUGUAAUUAGCAUAGUCUCUGGAACUAGCCAGAGUAGAGUGGAGCUAUUACCACAGGGGAUUUCUGUGGUUUAUUAUUUUUAUAUUAUAAGUAUAGUCUCUGGAACUAGCCAGAGUAGAAUGGUGCUAUUAUCACUUGGGAUUAUUGUGGUUUAUUGUUUAACGUAAUAAGUAUAGC